rnacentral:rRNA from 1 species
AGGGAUAAAAAUAUACUGCAAGUCGAGCGGACAGAUGGGAGCUUGCUCCCUGAUGUUAGCGGCGGACGGGUGAGUAACACGUGGGUAACCUGCCUGUAAGACUGGGAUAACUCCGGGAAACCGGGGCUAAUACCGGAUGGUUGUUUGAACCGCAUGGUUCAAACAUAAAAGGUGGCUUCGGCUACCACUUACAGAUGGACCCGCGGCGCAUUAGCUAGUUGGUGAGGUAACGGCUCACCAAGGCAACGAUGCGUAGCCGACCUGAGAGGGUGAUCGGCCACACUGGGACUGAGACACGGCCCAGACUCCUACGGGAGGCAGCAGUAGGGAAUCUUCCGCAAUGGACGAAAGUCUGACGGAGCAACGCCGCGUGAGUGAUGAAGGUUUUCGGAUCGUAAAGCUCUGUUGUUAGGGAAGAACAAGUACCGUUCGAAUAGGGCGGUACCUUGACGGUACCUAACCAGAAAGCCACGGCUAACUACGUGCCAGCAGCCGCGGUAAUACGUAGGUGGCAAGCGUUGUCCGGAAUUAUUGGGCGUAAAGGGCUCGCAGGCGGUUUCUUAAGUCUGAUGUGAAAGCCCCCGGCUCAACCGGGGAGGGUCAUUGGAAACUGGGGAACUUGAGUGCAGAAGAGGAGAGUGGAAUUCCACGUGUAGCGGUGAAAUGCGUAGAGAUGUGGAGGAACACCAGUGGGCGAAGGCGACUCUCUGGGUCUGUAACUGACGCUGAGGAGCGAAGCGUGGGGAGCGACAGGAUUAGAUACCCUGGUAGUCCACGCCGUAAACGAUGAGUGCUAAGUGGUUAAGGGGG